UGGCUGAGCAGCAAAGCGCUUGGCUUCCGAACCAGUGGUCCCGGGUUCGAAUCCUGG
rnacentral:tRNA from 1 species